GGUCAUGGCUCAGUGGUAGAGCGCUGGCCUCACACGUGUGAAGCCCUGGGUUUGAUCCUCAGCACCA
rnacentral:tRNA from 1 species